rnacentral:sRNA from 1 species
AGCAACUGCUGAGAGAAAGUAAUUGUC